rnacentral:rRNA from 1 species
UACGUAGGGCGCGAGCGUUGUCCGGAAUUAUUGGGCGUAAAGAGCUCGUAGGCGGCCUGUUGCGUCCGCUGUGAAAUCCCGGGGCUCAACCCCGGGCUUGCAGUGGAUACGGGCAUCACUGGAGUUCGGCAGGGGAGACCGGAAUUCCUGGUGUAGCGGUGAAAUGCGCAGAUAUCGGGAGGAACACCGGUGGCGAAGGCGGUUCUCUGGGCCUUACCUGACGCUGAGGAGCGAAAGCGUGGGGAGCGAACAGG